CAGAGUCACGUGUAGGCCAGACUGGGUAAGGAUGACAGAUUUCUUCACUGAACCAGACAGGUUUUUACAACAAUCAAAAUAGAUAUCAUGGUGACUAUUGCUGAGACUAGUUUUAUAUUCAAAAUUUAUUAAUUGAAUUUAAAUUCUACCCACUGCUGUGGUGGGAUUUGAACCCAUAUCCCCAGAGCAUUAACAUCAGCCUCUAGAUUACUAGUCUAGUGGACAUUAACACUACCACCAUCUCUCUGAUAGAAUAGGUUUUGUUGUAUCUAUGCUUGCAUUAGGCUAAAGUUAUUUCAGCCAGCCUAUAAUUCUAGAUUCAUUUGGCAGAGCCAUUGACCUAUGGGAGCUGAAUAAUUCUUGGGGAUCACAUUCCGUGGCUCCAUUCAUUUUUCAGUGAAACUGUAAACCUGUGGCGUUGAUCAUCAGUAUUACUACACAAAGCACUGUCACUCAAGGUAUGUUUGUUCUGAUCCUACAAUCACAAAUGUGCUCUACACUCGAAGAUUACAAGCAAUGUAAAUCCACUUUAAACAUCUUGCAGCGGAUUGGUUUUAUGAAAAGUAUAAGCCAUUGUUAUUUCUCACGUUUAGUACAAAAAUGAUUGGCCCUGUCUUGAGAAAGAAGUCUUAGGGACAACAUUAUUUAUUUCAAUGACAGAGUAUGCUACUGUUCUUUACAUUCUGUCCUGCAGUUCUUGAUAUUUAAAUACAUAUUGCUGACAGCAGUGUAAUUUUAUUCUGUUAGUGAAUAUUUACAUAGUUCUCACUGCCUUUGCUGAUUUGUUGCCUGAAAUACAUCAUUAAGACACAAUAAAAAAGGAACUUGUGGGGACCGUUAAAGGAUCCUCUGGAAACAAACAUCUUAUUUUAACUGUGAGGGAGUGAGUGACAAUCUUAGCGGUGCAAAUAAAUUUGUCUAAUUAAGGACAAAUGUAAACUGAUUUCAGCAAUGCAUUUUGGAUGGUUGUUGUGCCUUGCAGCUAAAUUUGAUAGUACUCGGCAUCAGGUUUUUAUUCAUUCAAGCUUAUAACAUGAAGAAUGACCAUUUGAAUGGUGCAUUAGAGGACUGGCAGCAUCUUCAGGAGAGCCUUUUGCCUUUUUUGGGGGGACACCGUGCGCUGAAUUCAAACCAACUUGAAAACCAGUCCUUUUUCAAUCGUGCUGCAUAACGAGACCCCAAGAAAAUGCAGCCUGUGGAGGAAGCAUUUUAUUUUUCCCAUCUUAUUCCUGCCUCUUAGGGGACAGUGAUUUACUGAUGCUCAGCGCCCCUCUUGGCUGUGCACUUAGACUUGGGACUGAUGAUUCCCAGGCAAUCGCCAGCCUGCAUCCUACCUGUCUGUGGGGGACCAUGUCAGUGCACCAUUGUGCUGUGCUACUAUAUAGGUGUAAUUUGGAAGCUUAUUCAUGGAGAACAAUAUUGUGUCCUAUUGAUUAGUAGAAGUACAUCUCCGGCAUGCUGUUAGUAAAAUAAUGGCAUAGACACAUAAAAUUAUUUAAACAAAUAUUUAGCUUAAUUUAUUUUUGUUUGCUUUUCAGGAAUGUUAUUUUCUUUAACUUUCACCCAAUUGAAAAUUAAGCAUCCAAUCGUAUAUUUUGUUAUUGUGGGGAUAUUGAGCAACUCUAACCCAUCCUAAACCAUCGGUGAAGCUGAGUCAUGGACCAGUGGAUUGCCUGCAUAUAAUGCAUUCAUAUCCUACAUGUUGACAAGCAAUAUAGAUCUCAGGAAAGGCCAUUUCAUAUCAUCAUCUUUUAAAAUAAGGCUUGAGCAUGACAGGUAAACAUAAAAAUGAAUGGGAUUGGCUUGUAAAAGACUAGUGGCUUGGAUACAGUAUGUAGGCAGUCUGACCAGAAGUUUCUCAAGGCGCUUGUGCCUGACCAAAGUCCAAUAAAAUAGCUGCUUUUGUUUAUUUAGGUCUCAUUAUUUAUUGCCCUUUCAUCAGCAUGAGAUGUUUUAUUGAACCACGCUGAGAAUGAACAGAGGGCUGUAAUAGCACAUUCAAAUAUAUUCCCUUUGAAUUAAGUAAUUAAAAUGAAUUGUGUUUCAGCAAAAUUUCCUCCUGUUUACCACAUCAUAACUUUCUGUUAGUUUUACCCAUGAGGAGACCUUUAAAACUGAAAAGAUCAUAUACAUGACUUACCCCAUCUGGCAUAUGUGCAAAAGAUCAGCAAGUAGAACAGUAAGUUAAAUCAGCUAUUAAGCAGAGAAUAUUAGCUUCGUUAUAUGAAAACCAAUUAAAUGUUAAUUCUAUUUUUUUAGAUAAAAAUACAAAAAGCAGGCAAUAUAAGGAAUAUUAAACACUCACUAGUUUAACAUCACUGCAUAUUUGUAAUUUUUACAACACAAAUCAGGAUAGUAAAUAUACCUUUUAAAUAACAUCUUGCACUAUUGCGCAUUUCACUACUAUUUUUGACAGUUGCAGUAUCAUUUUAUGUGGGUUAUUUAAGAUAUUGUUCUGUGGUUUAAGUAAUCUUUUUGGUAUUGUGUAACCUGAAAGCCCCAAAGGCACUUGACUUCUGACCAUGUGCGUCUGAUACCUGUUACCAAAUUACAGAUUAUCUGUUUGCAUCUGUUGUAAUUCUAUGGCUGUGCUGACUCAGUCUUGGCUUUUGGGGUACCACAUGAAUGGAGGGGACUUGCAGCAGUUGGUUCUGAAAUUGAAUGGGUGUGUCCUGCUAGGUGUAAUGUUAAUUUUCUAUUGAUAGAUCUUGAACUAAAGUGAAACUGACCUGUUGGUAACAUCAAAAGGCUAUAGCAUUCUUGCACCACUACAAAUGCAAUUUUCUAAUUCUACGUUGACAUAUUAAUUUACAGAACCACAUAAAACCCAUAUUCUAAAAUGUGCGCACUUGAUAACUGUGAAUGAAUAUUCUUAAGAGCUGAUACAGGAUCAAAGGGAAACUGCCUCUGUGCAAAGUAAAGCUUCGGAUAUGCUUGGUUUACUUCAGUUAAUACAGUUUUCUUAAGCUUGUCACAAUAUAACAAGUGAAGUGAUUUAAAAAUACUAGCAGUUGAGAAACUUCUAUUGGUGAUAUUAAUGAUUGAACUCAAUGCAUUUUUUCCCUAUCUGCUAUUUGAACAUGGGAGUUAUCCCCUAUAAUACAAACCAUUCAAGAGGAACCUCGUACACGCCUGUUAUCACCAGCAGCCAGAAAACAACAGCUUGUUUCUAACUCCUGUGCAGUACAAUGACAAAGGAAGCAGCCAACGGAACUGGUAGCAGGAAAUCAAGGCUGGCACUGCAGCAGCAGACUAGACUGGGACUAGUAGCAGGAAGUCAAGGCUGGCACUGGCAGCAAGAACACUAGGCUGAAACUGGUAGCAAGAUGACUAGGCUGGGACUGAUAGCAGGCAGACUAGGCUGGGACUGAUAGCAGGCAGACUAGGCUGGGACUGAUAGCAGGCAGACUAGGCUGGGACUGAUAGCAGGCAGACUAGGCUGGGACUGAUAGCAGGCAGACUAGGCUGAGACUGGUAGCAGGAACACUAGGCUGGGACUGGUAGGCAGACUAAACUGGGACUGGUAGCAGGAGCACUAGGCUGGGACUGGUAGCAGGAGCACUAGGCUGGGACUGGUAGCAGGAGCACUAGACUGGGACUGGUAGCAGGAGCACUAGGCUGGGACUGGUAGCAGGAGCACUAGGCUGGGACUGGUAGCAGGAGCACUAGGCUGGGACUGGUAGCAGGAGCAAUAGGCUGGGACUGGUAGCAGGAGCACUAGGCUGGGACUGGUAGCAGGAGCACUAGGCUGGGACUGGUAGCAGGAGCACUAGGCUGGGACUGGUAGCAGGAGCACUAGGCUGGGACUGGUAGCAGGAGCACUAGGCUGGGACUGGUAGCAGGAACACUAGGCUGGGACUGGUAGCAGGCAGACUAAACUGGGACUGGUAGCAGGAGCACUAGGCUGGGACUGGUAGCAGGAACACUAGGCUGGGACUGGUAGCAGGAAGACUAGGUUUGGACUGGUAGCAGGAGCACUAGGCUGGGACUGAUAGGCAGACUAAACUGGGACUGAUAGCAGGCAGACUAAACUGGGACUGGUAGCAGGAGCACUAGGCUGGGACUGGUAGCAGGAAGACUAGGUUGGGACUGCUAACAGGAGCACUAGGCUGGGACUGAUAGCAGGCAGACUAAACUGGGACUGGUAGCAGGAGCACUAGGCUGGGACUGGUAGCAGGAAGGCUAGGUUGGGACUGGUAGCUGGCAGAUUAGGCUGGGAUUGGUGGCAGGCAGACUAGUGGAGGGACCAAUAUUUGGGAGACAAGGUCUGGACUUGUUACAGGGAGGGUCAGCCAUGUUUACCGUCUUGCCAAGCAAAACAGUUGACGAGCUAUUAAAAUCAGGCAGCAGGAGGUUGCUGCCAGGCACCAUGGGGAACAGACCCCAGCAAAAGCAAGUGCUCUGAGGGGGGGAAUAAGGGAGUCCUCCAUUUUUACUGGCCUCCCCACCCCCCCAACUCCCCCGUCUCAAUUUCCACCAGGUCGAGAAGUUAAAAUAGACCCUUGUAUAUUUAUUACAAAAUGACAUCAGAUCCCGUUCACAUAAAUCUGGGGUCCAACACUUUAGCCAACUAAAAUGUUAAAUGACUAAAUUUCACUGCCGACAAAUAACUACUCCAUCCUUCACAUACUGAUAAGUGUGCCCGGACACAUUUCUAACAACAUAUCGAUUGCUAUUUGCUUUAGGAACACACCCACCACUGAGAGCUAAAGGGCAGAAUAUGAUUACAUAUAAUUACAAUGACUUAGGCUACAGCAUCCUGAGUAGGCUAUCAGAUGGGCUGUGUAGGUAGUCUGUGUGGCUACCAGUAAAAUAAACAUUUCUACCUCUGAUAUGAAUCUUUAAAUGCCUCGGAGUUGAAAUUCUUAAGUUCUUUUGAGAGCACUGUUGAAAUACUGACAUUUUAUUCUCAUCUUCAUAAUGGCAAUGCCACGACAAUUUGAGGAAAAAAUUAUUGUGGCUUGGAAAAUAAAGGAAAAAGCAUGUUCACAGGAUUAAAGGAGUCAGUAUAUUGAGCAAUGUUUAAGCUUACCCAGUGUCUGUCCACUUUUGGAUUGAUGUUUAGUGGUGCAUGAAGUAACAUGGUGAUCAUUUUUGUACAGCCAUGUUGUCAUUGGUAUGUAAACAGAAGUGAAUUUAUAUUUCUAUUGGCAUGAAUUGGAUAUGCAAUACAAUAUUACCUUGGUGAAGCAACAUUAGAAGCUAGUACGAAUUAACUCUGCUGCGACAGUGAAUUGACCAACAUAUUCAUUUGCCAGUAUAUCUGUGAGAAUUCCAUUCUACAAUAUUACAAAAAUCAAAGAUGCCAAAACAGUGUUUAUGGCUCUUAAAUGAAUCACAAGAUGUACAGACUCAAUUUAACUCCGCUGUCAAAAAUUGCUACAGUAGUUCUUGAGUUCACUCUGUGUUGUGUCUGUCCAAAGGUUUUAGUUAAAAUAAUUCAAAGAAGGCUUCUUAAUUUUGUAUAUAGGAGAGUAAAAUAAACAAAUAUGGCUAAAAUAUUUUUUAAUUUUCCAACAUGUUACAAAAUGAGGCUUUUCUGCAAAAAUUAGAAAUUUCACUGAAGAAUCAAUUCUUGCAUGUUGCAUAUGUUGUGAUUUGAGAAGUUAUCAAUGACUAAAAUGCCUUAUACAAACAAAUUCUAUAGUACAUAACCCAGAGAUGGUCUGAAAAUAGUUCAUCACAAAUAUGUGUGGACUUUAUGCUGUUUUAUGUCAUACUACUCAGCUUGAUUUGUCUAUCAUUUCUGUAUUUCUUAAGGAACCUUUAAUCUUGUAAAAUUGUGGUGUGUAUCUCUCAUUGCUUGAAUUGAAUGGCUUUGUAUAAAUCAAUGUCAUAAGCUGUUUCCUCUCUUGCCAUAUUUCCUAAUACAUUAAAUAUAGAUGUUUGUAAAUUCUCCAUAAUUUCUCGUUCAUUCUGCGUGUCUUGAUAUAAUCAAGUCCAACAGGCAUUUCAUACAGUAUUACUGUGUUUGAAAAGUUCACUUCAAGUUAUUGCAAGCUUGUCAUUGGUAAUGAAAUCAUAGCUGCUUUACAAAAAUUAAAUAAAUUUUCAAACUUAUUAACAGAGUGCAUUGCAAAUAAAAAGACAAACUGAUGAUUUUAAUCUUGAAUUUGCUCCUAAAAUUUGCAACUGAUCUGAAAAAUAGUGGGGCAAAUAAAAUUAAUGAGAAAAGUUACAACAUUUUGUUGCAAUUUUUAAUAAAUAAUUGUUAGGUGUAUUAUGCUUACCAUAAUUUGAAAUACUGACUAAGAAGUAUGAAUCCUAUUAUGUGACUUGUGGACUCCCAUCCUUAUGUGUGUUCUUGCUCAGAGCAUUCUGCUAAAUGUUGUCAUUACAGAACACUCAGAUUACGCUGGGAAAGGAAAUUUUAAAAAAUUACAUAAAAUAAACUUGUUACCGUUUCA